AGCACGAGCUGAUCUUUGACUCGAACCUGGACAUCGUUUUGUACACGAAGUCAAGCUGCUGUACCCGUGAUUCCAUGUAUCGAGUCAACGAUCGUCUUUAAAAAUGUGCUU
rnacentral:pre_miRNA from 1 species